rnacentral:rRNA from 1 species
ACGAGGCACUACGGUGCUGAAGCAACAAAUGCCCUGCUUCCAGGAAAAGCCUCUAAGCAUCAGGUAACACGAAAUCGUACCCCAAACCGACACAGGUGGUCAGGUAGAGAAUACCAAGGCGCUUGAGAGAACUCGGGUGAAGGAACUAGGCAAAAUGGUGCCGUAACUUCGGGAGAAGGCACGCUGACACGUAGGUGAAGUGAUUUACUCAUGGAGCUGAAGUCAGUCGAAGAUACCAGCUGGCUGCAACUGUUUAUUAAAAACACAGCACUGUGCAAACACGAAAGUGGACGUAUACGGUGUGACGCCUGCCCGGUGCCGGAAGGUUAAUUGAUGGGGUCAGCGCAAGCGAAGCUCCUGAUCGAAGCCCCGGUAAACGGCGGCCGUAACUAUAACGGUCCUAAGGUAGCGAAAUUCCUUGUCGGGUAAGUUCCGACCUGCACGAAUGGCGUAAUGAUGGCCAGGCUGUCUCCACCCGAGACUCAGUGAAAUUGAACUCGCUGUGAAGAUGCAGUGUACCCGCGGCAAGACGGAAAGACCCCGUGAACCUUUACUAUAGCUUGACACUGAACAUUGAGCCUUGAUGUGUAGGAUAGGUGGGAGGCUUUGAAGUGUGGACGCCAGUCUGCAUGGAGCCGGCCUUGAAAUACCACCCUUUAAUGUUUGAUGUUCUAACGUGGACCCGUUACCCGGGUUGCGGACAGUGUCUGGUGGGUAGUUUGACUGGGGCGGUCUCCUCCUAAAGAGUAACGGAGGAGCACGAAGGUUGGCUAAUCCUGGUCGGACAUCAGGAGGUUAGUGCAAUGGCAUAAGCCAGCUUGACUGCGAGCGUGACGGCGCGAGCAGGUGCGAAAGCAGGUCAUAGUGAUCCGGUGGUUCUGAAUGGAAGGGCCAUCGCUCAACGGAUAAAAGGUACUCCGGGGAUAACAGGCUGAUACCGCCCAAGAGUUCAUAUCGACGGCGGUGUUUGGCACCUCGAUGUCGGCUCAUCACAUCCUGGGGCUGAAGUAGGUCCCAAGGGUAUGGCUGUUCGCCAUUUAAAGUGGUACGCGAGCUGGGUUUAGAACGUCGUGAGACAGUUCGGUCCCUAUCUGCCGUGGGCGCUGGAGAACUGAGGGGGGCUGCUCCUAGUACGAGAGGACCGGAGUGGACGCAUCACUGGUGUUCGGGUUGUCAUGCCAAUGGCACUGCCCGGUAGCUAAAUGCGGAAGAGAUAAGUGCUGAAAGCAUCUAAGCACGAAACUUGCCCCGAGAUGAGUUCUCCCUGAGACUUAGAGUCUCCUGAAGGAACGUUGAAGACGACGACGUUGAUAGGCCGGGUGUGUAAGCGCAGCGAUGCGUUGAGCUAACCGGUACUAAUGAACCGUGAGGCUUAACC